rnacentral:rRNA from 1 species
UACGUAGGGUGCAAGCGUUAAUCGGAAUUACUGGGCGUAAAGCGUGCGCAGGCGGUUGUGCAAGACAGAUGUGAAAUCCCCGGGCUUAACCUGGGAAUUGCAUUUGUGACUGCACGGCUAGAGUGUGUCAGAGGGGGGUAGAAUUCCACGUGUAGCAGUGAAAUGCGUAGAUAUGUGGAGGAACACCGAUGGCGAAGGCAGCCUCCUGGGCCAACACUGACGCUCAUGCACGAAAGCGUGGGGAGCAAACAGG